UACGUAGGGUGCAAGCGUUGUCCGGAAUUAUUGGGCGUAAAGAGCUCGUAGGCGGUUUGUCGCGUCUGCUGUGAAAUCCCGAGGCUCAACCUCGGGCCUGCAGUGGGUACGGGCAAACUAGAGUGCGGUAGGGGAGAUUGGAAUUCCUGGUGUAGCGGUGGAAUGCGCAGAUAUCAGGAGGAACACCGAUGGCGAGGGCAGAUCUCUGGGCCGUAACUGACGCUGAGGAGCGAAAGCGUGGGGAGCGAACAGG
rnacentral:rRNA from 1 species